ACGCGUGGGAAUCUACCCUNUUAGUCGGGGACAACAUAUGGAAACGUAUGCUAAUACCGAAUAUGCUCUACGGAGUAAAGGUGCCCUCUCCUUGGAAGGUAUCGCUAAAGGAUGAGCCCGCGUUAGAUUAGCUAGUUGGUAGGGUAAAGGCCUACCAAGGCGACGAUCUAUAGCUGGUUUGAGAGGAUGAUCAGCCACACUGGGACUGAGACACGGCCCAGACUCCUACGGGAGGCANCAGUGGGGAAUAUUGCACAAUGAGGGAAACCUUGAUGCAGCCAUGCCGCGUGUGUGAAGAAGGCCCGAGGGUUGUAAAGCACUCUCAAUUGUGAGGAAGAUUAAGUAGCUAAUACCUGCUUAGUUUGACGUUAACUUUAGAAGAAGCACCGGCUAACUCUGUGCCAGCAGCCGCGGUAAUACAGAGGGUGCAAGCGUUAUUCGGAAUUACUG
rnacentral:rRNA from 1 species